GAUGAACGCUGGCGGCGUGCCUAUACAUGCCAGUCGAGCGAACAGACGAGGAGCUUGCUCCUCUGACGUUAGCGGCGGACGGGUGAGUAACACGUGGAUAACCUACCUAUAAGACUGGGAUAACUUCGGGAAACCGGAGCUAAUACCGGAUAACAUGUUGCACCGCAUGGUUCAACAGUGAAAGACGGUCUUGCUGUCACUUAUAGAUGGAUCCGCGCCGCAUUAGCUAGUUGGUAAGGUAACGGCUUACCAAGGCAACGAUGCGUAGCCGACCUGAGAGGGUGAUCGGCCACACUGGAACUGAGACACGGUCCAGACUCCUACGGGAGGCAGCAGUAGGGAAUCUUCCGCAAUGGGCGAAAGCCUGACGGAGCAACGCCGCGUGAGUGAAGAAGGUCUUCGGAUCGUAAAACUCUGUUAUUAGGGAAGAACAAAUGUGUAAGUAACUAUGCACGUCUUGACGGUACCUAAUCAGAAAGCCACGGCUAACUACGUG
rnacentral:rRNA from 1 species